rnacentral:rRNA from 1 species
AGUGAACGCUGGCGGUAGGCCUAACACAUGCAAGUCGAACGGCAGCACAGUAAGAGCUUGCUCUUACGGGUGGCGAGUGGCGGACGGGUGAGGAAUACAUCGGAAUCUACUUUUUCGUGGGGGAUAACGUAGGGAAACUUACGCUAAUACCGCAUACGACCUACGGGUGAAAGCAGGGGAUCUUCGGACCUUGCGCGAUUGAAUGAGCCGAUGUCGGAUUAGCUAGUUGGCGGGGUAAAGGCCCACCAAGGCGACGAUCCGUAGCUGGUCUGAGAGGAUGAUCAGGCACACUGGAACUGAGACACGGUCCAGACUCCGACGGGAGGCAGCAGUGGGGAAUAGUGGACAAUGGGCGCAAGCCUGAUCCAGCCAUACCGCGUGGGUGAAGAAGGCGUUCGGGUUGUAAAGCCCUUUUGUUGGGAAAGAAAAGCAGCAGGUUAAUACCCCGCUGUUCUGACGGUACCCAAAGAAUAAGCACCGGCUAACUUCGUG